UUUUUUUUUUUUUUUUUUUUAAUUCUUGCAGUCUCUUUUUUUUCCUCUUUUUUUCCCAUAUCUCUAAAUAUCUCUGAUUCCAUCAGUCUUCAGAAUCUUUUAAAAUACUGGUACAUAAUUUUGCUAUAGAACCUGCAUUCCUUAAGCCCUAAGAAGAGUUUGUAGUAGCACUGUUGACAGUAGGACUAUGUCCUACUUCCUCCACAUGUAUUUUGUAGGUAACCUUUUGAAUAGACUGUUUUUCUGUAAAACUUAAAAGUAAAUUUAAAUAUUUUUAAUUCUAUUUUGACAUUUUACAGGUUAUUGUAGUAACUUUUCUGUAGUUAUUUGUAGCUAUAUAUGUUAUCUCUGUAAUAAUAUUUUUAAAUUAAAUAGCCUGUAUUUAAAUAAAAUCCCAAAAGAAUCUAAGAUAACUACGCACACCACUAUGUCUAUUUAAAACUGGUUAAAAAAAAAUCUCCAUACUCUUAGAAGACCGUUGGACAGAUUUCCAUUCUAUCUUAAAGCUAUAUGUCAGUGUAGUGUGCCAUGAUGAAGUUACACUGACAGAAUGAUCAGAAGUGACUGAUGUGUGGAGGAAAGCAGACAUUUUGAAGAGCCAUGUAAAGCUGUAAAUAUCUCAUGUUGUUCUUUACCAGAUAUUAUUUGAAAAGCUAACGUCUGCAUUUUUAAUGUGUUUGGUUAGAGUCUAGUGGAACAUUAAGUCCUGAUUAAUUGAACUCACAUUGUAGGUAUGCAUUGCAGGUACACAAAUAUUUAGACUAUUGAGAUUCAACCCAAAGUUUUACAAGAGGCAUUUUUUUAGUCAGAUGCUGUUUUAAGCUAAGCUGAUGAAAACAUUAACUGGAUACCCAAACACAUUUGUUUAUGUAGCAGAUGUGAGGUUUGUAAUGCGAAUGCAGAAUAUGUUUUAACUGGUUUGAUGCUGCAUACCGGAACAUCUGUUACCAGAUGAGUAACCAGAUGUGCUUGGAAGACCUGGAUUUUUGACAUUUCUGCUUUUAUGGAGGUAUUUGACAAGGGAGGAGAUACCCUAAUGGAAAUCCUUCAAUGCUGCAGCAGAAUUUCAGUGCAGGACUACUAAAUAAAAUCAGUGAUCAAACUAGGAAGCAGGGUAUUUGCAGAUGUUGGGCAAACUGUGCAAAAAAGGGGGCAGUGUAGAUUCUAAUCUUUCAGCCGCCUUUCUGCCCUGCCAUCAUCACUUGUUGAAAAGUCUUCUAAAGGUGGCAUUGAUACAGUCUUUACUAGUGUAAACUUAAUUGGGCAGUAUAAUGUGCUGUUCUGGGUACGCCUGUGAGCAGCACUGCUGCCACUGUGUUGUGAAGGCCUAGUAGAGAAUAAAGCAAAAGCUCAUACUAUCAGAGAAUCAGCAAAUGGUUUUCAGUGCUGGAAGCAAGUAAACACAUUGCUUGUUAUGUGAAGAUCAUUUUCUGUGGGUAUUUUUUUUUUUUUUUUGUUUGUUUGUUUAGUGGGUGUUUUUUUCUUUUUUAAAAUAAAGAUGCCACAGGACAGAAGCGUAAAGAUCAAAAAUCUCAUAUUUACAGAGAUGUGAAGGAACUAUUUUAUUUCCUUCUCAACUUUUUAAAAGAAAAUACAACUUCAGUAGUUUCUAUUAUGAAGUGUCUAUGUACAAGGAAAAUAUGUGUAUUCUGACAGCCUUAUUCUAGGUGCUUACUAGCUAGCAGGCCAGUAUACAUAAAAUCUGUUAAUAGUCACUGGAGAGAUGCAAGCUUCUUUAGCAAGCACUUUAGACAACUGUAGUGUUCUGUGGUAAACCUCUUCAGACUCUUUGAAAGUGUCUUUUUCUUUCCUUCCACUGACUGUUUGGAGGCUUCUCUUGAUUAAUGUCAUUUGGGGACCUAAGUUGGUCUGAACUGGUUCUAGAUACGUGGCAGGUGCCUUCAGAUUAGGAUGACAGAGAUUCAACACAAGAUUAAUAGAGCCACUAGAGCCACUUUUAGUCAGAUGUCAUUUUAAACUGGGUUGAUGAUCUUAGUUCAUGCUGAUCAGUACUUGUGAAUAUAGUUGGUGCUUUGAAUAUCUUGAAAAGAAUUGUAAAACAGUUUUGUAUAUCAUGAGUUCAGCAUGAUUUUAGCUAUGCUGGGAUGAUUGCUUGAGAACAAACACGUGGCAUUUUUGCAAACUUGGUCAAUAAAAUAUUUGUAUCAAGUCAUAUUGUCUACUUAGAGUUAUGAAGCAGGAAAUUUCCAUAGAAAUUUAUGUAAGUUCUCCCUGGCAGUACUUGGAAAACAGCAGGAAUCGAUGUGUAGAACUAAACUGCUGUCCCCCAUGCCCCAGGACAUGGAGACCUUGCUGUAGUAUUCCUACCAGAUCCUUGGUUUUAUUUAAAUAUAAGUAUUUCAGAAAUGUGAACUUAUAAAUUCUAUUUACAUUUUGUAUUAGUUCCAAAAAGAUGCUGCACAUGUCCAUAAAUAUUCUGCUGAGCCCUAUCGGGACAGUGUUGAACAGCGAGAUUGAUUGUUACUGAAAAAAAUAACAGCUAUACUGAGAGUCUAAGCACUCUCUGUUACUUUUCAGUUGUAGGUUAGCCUUUCUUUUUUCCACCUCAGUUAAUGUUCUUAGUGUGUAAAUGGCACCAAGUCUAAUGCCUGUCUGAGACUGAACCUCAUGUCUUAUGACCUUAGACCUCUGAUCCUACUUGUUCUGCAUACUGCUUUCACAAUAUAAGGUCCAGAGGAAGUAUAAUGCAAUUAUCACUAUUUGAAUAGCACUAGGAGUGACAGGGUGUGAUUCUGGCAUCUGGCUUUUCAGCGUAAUUUACAAAAGUUUUGAAUUGCUGUCAAAUUUUACAAAUAUUGAUAAAUAGUGUUUAUGAACUCUCGAUAUAUCAUUAUAGCAAAAGGAAGACUUCAAUUCAGCUGUCUUUAUUGCAAUAUGUUAAAUGUAAAUAAAAUAAAGUCAGUACCAGAAUUCUAAAAAAAAAAAAAAAAAAA
ensembl:lncRNA